rnacentral:lncRNA from 1 species
AGCGCGGCCCGGCUGUGUCCCUGCGUCCCAGGGGCUGGGCGCGCCCGGCCUGCCCAGCGGGGGAUGCGGGGCGCUGUCACUUCCUCCCAGCAGCCGGGCAGGGGCGGGGGGCUGGCCGCGCGUCGCAUGGUAUGUGGAGUUCGGGGGACGGCACGGGGACGACGGGGUUGUCAGGCGCGGAGCCAUUGUCCGACGACGGCUCCUGAUAGGCCGCCUGGAUGGGGCGCGCUUGGCCGCGUUCCCGCGUCACACACCGGCUCCAGCUGCGGGAGAGCCCGUCCCACCCCAACUCCCCAGCCGCCCCUCUGAAGUGUUCCGGUGUCACCGUGGCCACAAGGAGGCAGGGGACGGGGGCUUCCUGAAGGAGGCCCCCUAAGGGGAAGGGGGCUACAAGGCUGGCCAGAGUGCUGGCCGCGCGGCUGUGCACAGGGCCUUGAGCCCCUCCGGUCGUCAAGCCUUGCUUGAAAUGCGUAAAUGCGGAAAGGUGAAGUGGCUGACCCGGCUCACACCACUUUAAGUAGCGGAGUGGGGUUCCUAGCCAGGCCUAUGGGACUCCCACUGGAGCCUUUCCCCCUCUGGGGCUGGGGCUGGACCCACAGGCUGCCGGAGCAGGCAGAAGGGGAGGGGCCCAAGGCCCAGACUCCAGGGCCUCGUCUGGAUCAUCAACCCGGCUUUGCCCAUUCAGCGCAGGCCUCCGUUUCCAGGCCUGUCUCCCCAUCCACACCGUCUCUCAGGAUGAGGAAACUGAGGCACAGAGCGGUCCAGUCAUGUGCCAGCCAGUGGUGAAGCUAGGAGCCCCUUCACUAAGCACAGUGUUAUCUUGCUUCUCCUCCAACGUUGCUCAGCGUCUGAAAUUCAGCUUGAUGUAUUUAAGUCAGACACAAGAAAGGACUUCUAGACCAAGGAGUUUAGAUGCAGAAAUGGGAGGCUGUCACCAGCCCUGAGACUCUUCCUGGGGAUGCCCUACUGUCUGCAUGGGGUGGGGCCAUUGUGUUCCCUGUUGACAGAUGAGGAAACUGAGUCUCAGAGAAGCAGGCACAGAGGUUGAGGCCUUAAGCCUGAGGUCCCUGCUGCCACCCAGCCUUCCCCAAGAGGAGCAGUGACUUGCUCAGCAUCACCUACAGCUCCAUGAGACCCUGGCUGAAGUCUGCUGACCUCCUCCGGGACUGUGGGAUGGCCAGGACAGCUGACCAGGAGCCACUUUCACGGCACAUCCCCUCCUGCAAAGGAGGGAGCAUGAGGACCCUCAGCAGCCCAGACAUGUACCAUCAGGCGGUGCCCCACCCCAGCCCCACGGGACACUGUCGAUUUGUUGAUAGCCCCCCUGCCCCUUUCCUCCUAGGAGGAAGCCAGGCCAAGGAUUCCUUUUCGUAUUUGGCAGAUGGAGAAACCGAGGCCUGAUGAGGUAUGGCUUCUGCAGCUAUUCCAUGAGCCUGACCCACUGUCCUUGCUGGAGAAGGGCCAUGGGAGAGAAAGCAGGGCCUAUGGGGCAGCAGGACCCCAACCCCAGUGGCCUUCCAAAUAGUGUGGUGUAGGAGGGCUUCCUGGAGGAGUGGGUCCUGGUGGAACUCAUGGGCAUAGGAAGUUCUCUAUGCCAGCUGCAAGCGGCCACUCUCCUCCCCAAGUUCAGCUCUCCUAAAACUCUAGUCUUUCACCACAGCUCUCUGGUACUGAUGCAAAAUGCCUAAGUGCAGCUCCGGUCCCUUCUGCCUGGGGUUCCUGUAGAACAUGGGCCCUUCUCGGAGCCGGCAUAAUUUCCAGGAAAACAGCUGCAGAGCUACGGCCUAUGCAGGGUUCUGCCAAUGACAGAGGCCAGUCACGUGGCAGGACCUCUCUUGGGAAGCCCAGUGCUGCUUCAUGGGGCUGUUUGGAG